GGCAAGAUGGCCGAGUGGUCUAAGGCGCUAGUUUCAGGAAAAGGCUAGAAUCGUUAGAUUCUUUCCAUGCGCAUGCAGCGUAUACUAGUCUUUCGAGGCGUGGGUUCGAAUCCCACUCUUGUCA